CAGCAGCCGCGGGAAUACGAAGGGGGCUAGCGUUGUUCGGAAUCACUGGGCGUAAAGCGCACGUAGGCGGAUACUUAAGUCAGGGGUGAAAUCCCGGGGCUCAACCUCGGAACUGCCUUUGAUACUGGGUAUCUUGAGUCCGGGAGAGGUUGGUGGAACUCCGAGUGUAGAGGUGGAAUUCGUAGAUAUUCGGAAGAACACCUGUGGCGAAGGCGGCCAACUGGCCCGGUACUGACGCUGAGGUGCGAAAGCGUGGGGAGCAAACAGGAUUAGAUACCCCUGUAGUCCCUGUCUCUUAUAC
rnacentral:rRNA from 1 species